GGAGAAUCUUGCCCAAUGGGCGCAAGCCUGAGGCAGCCACGCCGCGUGGGGGACGAAGGUCUUCGGAUUGUAAACCCCUUUCAGCAUCGAGGAAGCGAAAGUGACGGUAGAUGCAGAAGAAGCCCCGGCCAACUACGUGCCAGCAGCCGCGGUAAUACGUAGGGGGGCGAGCGUUGUCCGGAAUCAUUGGGCGUAAAGCGCGUGUAGGCGGUCCAGUAAGUCGGAUGUGAAAUCUUCGGGCUCAACCCGGAAACUGCAUCCGAUACUGCUGGACUUGAGGAAGGUAGAGGAGAGUGGAAUUCCCGGUGUAGCGGUGGAAUGCGCAGAUAUCGGGAGGAACACCAGUAGCGAAGGCGGCUCUCUGGGCCUUACCUGACGCUGAGACGCGAAAGCGUGGGUAGCAA
rnacentral:rRNA from 1 species